AUUGAACGCUGGCGGCAGGCUUAACACAUGCAAGUCGAGCGGAGAUGAGGUGCUUGCACCUUAUCUUAGCGGCGGACGGGUGAGUAAUGCUUAGGAAUCUGCCUAUUAGUGGGGGACAACAUUCCGAAAGGAAUGCUAAUACCGCAUACGUCCUACGGGAGAAAGCAGGGGAUCUUCGGACCUUGCGCUAAUAGAUGAGCCUAAGUCGGAUUAGCUAGUUGGUGGGGUAAAGGCCUACCAAGGCGACGAUCUGUAGCGGGUCUGAGAGGAUGAUCCGCCACACUGGGACUGAGACACGGCCCAGACUCCUACGGGAGGCAGCAGUGGGGAAUAUUGGACAAUGGGCGGAAGCCUGAUCCAGCCAUGCCGCGUGUGUGAAGAAGGCCUUUUGGUUGUAAAGCACUUUAAGCGAGGAGGAGGCUACCUAGAUUAAUACUCUGGGAUAGUGGACGUUACUCGCAGAAUAAGCCCCGGCUAACUUCGUGCCAGCAGCCGCGGUAAUAC
rnacentral:rRNA from 1 species